CCUACGGGUGGCAGCAGUGGGGAAUAUUGGACAAUGGGCGAAAGCCUGAUCCAGCCAUGCCGCGUGUGUGAAGAAGGCCUUCGGGUUGUAAAGCACUUUCAGUGGGGAAGAAAGCCUUGGGGCUAAUACCCUCGAGGAAGGACAUCACCCACAGAAGAAGCACCGGCUAACUCCGUGCCAGCAGCCGCGGUAAUACGGAGGGUGCGAGCGUUAAUCGGAAUUACUGGGCGUAAAGCGCGCGUAGGCGGUUUGAUAAGCCGGUUGUGAAAGCCCCGGGCUCAACCUGGGAACGGCAUCCGGAACUGUCAGGCUAGAGUGCAGGAGAGGAAGGUAGAAUUCCCGGUGUAGCGGUGAAAUGCGGAGAGAUCGGGAGGAAUACCAGUGGCGAAGGCGGCCUUCUGGACUGACACUGACGCUGAGGUGCGAAAGCGUGGGUAGCAAACAGGAUUAGAUACCCUAGUAGUC
rnacentral:rRNA from 1 species